rnacentral:misc_RNA from 1 species
GUGAAUCAUCGAAUUUUUGAACGCAAAUUGCACUCUCUGGCAUUCCGGGGAGUAUGCCUGUUUGAGGGUCAGUUUAAAUAAAAAUCGAGGUGUUGCUGUUUUGUGAUGUAUCGGAAUUGGGUUAUCUUUGACCUUUUAAAAAGUUUAAGUGACCUAAAAUUGAUACCUUGUGCAUCUUAGAAGUACAUAAGAAUAUUUUUUGAUCAGUCAGGAGUUGCCAACGUUUUAUUAGGGAUGAUCAUGAGGGUUGUGGCAUCGUACAUAUAAUAUACACAUAUU